rnacentral:tRNA from 1 species
GCAAUAAUAGCUCAAAAAGAGCGUUGGUCUUGUAAGCCAAAGGUGAGUCUAUUUCUCUUGUUGCU